rnacentral:rRNA from 1 species
ACAUAGCUUUCCGGUGAGUUUGGAGCUCCCAGUAUGGGAGGUGAGGCCUGCCCAAUGGUUGUAUCUGAAUUUAGACGGUAAGAUAAGUUGUUUGAUUAAAGGCAAUUGAAUGGCCGCGGUAACUCUGACCGUGAUAAUGUAGCGCAAUCAAUCGUCAAUUAAUAGUUGACAAGUAUGAAUGGCGUAACGAGUGCCCCACUGUCUCAAGAUAAAAACCAGUGAAAUUGAAAUGGUGGUGAAGAUGCUACCCACAAAUUGUCAGACGAGAAGACCCCGUUGAGCUUUACUGGAGGCUUGAAUUGUUUUGUAAAAUGGUGAUGGUGUGGUUACACCCCUGCAAGUUUAAGAAAACCAAUAGGGCCAUGCCCGUGGAAGUUCGUGGAGAAAACCAAUAGGGCCAUGCCCGUGGAAGUUCAAGUUGGACAGUUUGAUUGGGGCGAUGGCCUUCUAAAGAGUAACGAAGGUGAACAAAGGUAAUGAGAUAAUAUAAUGAAAAGCCUGACAGUAAGGGGGGCCGACAAGCUGACACAGAGAGGAAGAUGCUGUGGGUUAUAGUGACCCGUUAGUUAAGGGUGGAUUUACUAGCGACUAACCAAUAAAAGUUACCAAGGGGAUAACAGCGUAAUUUACGUCUGGAGAGUUCAUAUUGAUGACGGAGUU